GAUGAACGCUGGCGGCGUGCCUAAUACAUGCAAGUCGAACGAAACUUCUUUAUCACCGAGUGCUUGCACUCACCGAUAAAGAGUUGAGUGGCGAACGGGUGAGUAACACGUGGGCAACCUGCCCAAAAGAGGGGGAUAACACUUGGAAACAGGUGCUAAUACCGCAUAACCAUAGUUACCGCAUGGUAACUAUGUAAAAGGUGGCUAUACUACCGCCUUUGGAUGGGCCCGCGGCGCAUUAGCUAGUUGGUAGGGUAAAGGCUUACCAAGGCAAUGAUGCGUAGCCGAAUUGAGAGGUUGAUCGGCCACAUUGGGACUGAGACACGGCCCAAACUCCUACGGGAGGCAGCAGUAGGGAAUCUUCCACAAAGGGCGAAAGCCUGAUGGAGCAACGCCGCGUGGGUGAAGAAGGUCUUCGGAUCGUAAAACCCUGUUGUUAGAGAAGAAAGUGCGUGAGAGUAACUGUUCACGUUUCGACGGUAUCUAACCAGAAAGCCACGGCUAACUACGUG
rnacentral:rRNA from 1 species